AUGGAACUCUUGGAUGAGGAACUUGACGAUGUGGUCAUUGGGAAGGAUCAAGCGAAGCGAUUCAAGGAGGAUGCCCGGUGGUUGGCGAUUGCAAGGGCCAACACGGACAUGUCUUUUAGCUCGUCUUCUCUGUUCGAUACAAUGAAAUUCGUCUGGGGUCUGGCGCAAACGCCGAAGUUCAGAGAGGCAGGCUCAAACAGAUUCAUCUUCCAGAUGUUCUGUCUGGGGGAUUGGAAGAAGGUAGUCCACGGAGGCCCUUGGCUCUUUCGAAACUACGCAGUGGUGAUCGAGGAUUACGAUGGCAAAACUGAUCCGGAGGAAUAUGCCCUAGAUGGGGUGUUUCUAUGGGCACAGAUCCACAAAGUUCCUGACCUGUACUGUCAUCCAGAGGUGGUGGACGAGUUAGCACGCAGAAUCGGGAAAGAUAGAGAGGUUCCGCUUCGGCCUACUCUAUACUAUGAGGGUGACUAUGUAAGAGUUAGGGUUAGGGUUCUGACGGCGAAACCUUUGACAAGAUUUACCCCUCUUAAUGUUGAGGGAGAGGGGAGGAAGAUGAUGGUGGUGAAAUAUGAGAAGGUUUCGUUUUUUUGUAAAAUCUGUGGAAUCAUGGGACAUGGUUUUGAGGAGUGUGGUAAUGGCAUAUGGGAGGAAAAGGACAAGAAGUGGGGUAGUUGGAUGCUUGCAAAACGCAGGACAGUAUCAUAUGCCUAG
rnacentral:rRNA from 1 species